CUGCGGAAGGAUCAUUACCGAGUGAGGGCCCUCUGGGUCCAACCUCCCACCCGUGUUUAUUCUACCUUGUUGCUUCGGCGGGCCCGCCUCACGGCCGCCGGGGGGCACCUGCCCCCGGGCCCGCGCCCGCCGAAGACACCAUUGAACUCUGUCUGAAGAUUGCAGUCUGAGCAGAUUAGCUAAAUCAGUUAAAACUUUCAACAACGGAUCUCUUGGUUCCGGCAUCGAUGAAGAACGCAGCGAAAUGCGAUAAGUAAUGUGAAUUGCAGAAUUCAGUGAAUCAUCGAGUCUUUGAACGCACAUUGCGCCCCCUGGUAUUCCGGGGGGCAUGCCUGUCCGAGCGUCAUUGCUGCCCUCAAGCACGGCUUGUGUGUUGGGCUUCGCCCCCCGGCUCCCGGGGGGCGGGCCCGAAAGGCAGCGGCGGCACCGCGUCCGGUCCUCGAGCGUAUGGGGCUUCGUCACCCGCUCUGUAGGCCCGGCCGGCGCCCGCCGGCGACCCCAAUCAAUCUUUUCAGGUUGACCUCGGAUCAGGUAGGGAUACCCGCUGAACUUAAGCAUA
rnacentral:rRNA from 1 species